rnacentral:rRNA from 1 species
GAUGAACGCUAGCUACAGGCUUAACACAUGCAAGUCGAGGGGCAGCGCAGUGUAGCAAUACGAUGGGCGGCGACCGGCGCACGGGUGCGUAACGCGUAUCCAACCUUCCCGUUACUCAGGGAUAGCCUUCCGAAAGGGGAGAUUAAUACCUGAUGGUGUUCAAAUUCCGCAUGUUAUUGAACUAAAGAUUUAUCGGUAACGGAUGGGGAUGCGUACGAUUAGCUUGUUGGCGGGGUAACGCCCACCAAGGCGACGAUCAGUAGGGGUUCUGAGAGGAAGGUCCCCCACACUGGAACUGAGACACGGUCCAGACUCCUACGGGAGGCAGCAGUGAGGAAUAUUGGUCAAUGGUCUGACGACUGAACCAGCCAUGCCGCGUGAAGGUCACGGCCCUAUGGGUCUUAAACUUCUUUUGUAAGGGAGCAAUAAGCUUUACGUGUAGAGUGAUGAGAGUACCUUACGAAUAAGCAUCGGCUAACUCCGUG